GGUAGUAGCAAAUAUUUAAAUGAAAACUUUGAAGAUUGAAAUGGAGAAAGUUUAUGUGUGAACAACAAUUAGAUAUGGGUUUAGUGAUACUAAGAGAUGAGAAAGUCCUUUGUCAAGAAGGCAUAUUGCGCUGUUGACACAUGACCGUGCAUAGAAAGAAGAUCAAGUCAAUUUUUUCAAACCGAGAGGUGAGAAUGGAUGAUGACGUCACCGUAUCCAAAAACACCUGUGUGGGUUAUAAAAAAAGAUAUAUAUUUUUGUAACGACUUACCCGUCAUGAAAUUGCAUUAUGCAAAGAUAGGAACCAGCAGUUCGCAAAGCAUUGCAAUUUUUGUGGUUUUUGAUGCGUUCUGAUGGUACUUGAAAAUCUCGAGGAGUGAGUACUUAUCACGCUUGGUCGAACUCAUAAUUGCAUCAGAUCUCCAAGGUGAACAAGCUCUAGUU
rnacentral:ncRNA from 1 species